UGCUAAAGUGGAAUACUCUACUUGUGCA
rnacentral:sRNA from 1 species